CCAGCGUGCGCGGCGCGGUUCCCUCACCACUUCGUCCAGCUUUCCGGGAAUGGCCGAGAAAUUAGGUUUCACCAGGGCCACUCUGCUCCAUACCUCACUCUUCAUCCAAAAUUCCAAAUGUGAAUUCCAGAAAUGAGAUGAGAAUUCUUCCCAAAACAGCAUCUGAAUGACCAACGUUACUGGCAUCGCACGCACAUUGGAAAAUUGUCAUCAACCAAUCCGUGGCUUCCUAAUAAGGCUGUGACCUGCAUGAAUUCUUUUUUACUAGAAUAUGGUUUGGUCAAUAUUUGAAGAUUUCUCCAUCCUAAAGAUAAGGAUUUUUCCUUUUUUUCACAUGUACAUCAUAAUUAUUCAAGAAUUGAUUAUUUUUUUGUUGGAUACGCGAUUGGUGCCUUUUGUUGCUGACUGUGCAUAUGAUGCUAUUGCAUUAUCAGAUCAUGUGCCCAAAAAACUAAUACUGAAGUUCCCUGAUAAUAUACGGAAUGCAUCUCAGUGGAGAUUUAAUGCUACACUGCUGCAUGAUUCAGCGUUUGCUAUACAGAGGUACCUGGCAGGGUUGUCCUCUUAGUUCGCUGUUGUUCAACCUGACUUUAGAACCUCUUGCUAUUGCUCUUCAGGACUCCAACAAUGUUCAAGAUGUACCAGGACUGAGUGAAAAAACAAUGAAAGGCAUCUGCUAUGGACCAGUUGCUUCCGUAGAUCUGAUGAAGGGUCCUUGACCUGAAACGUUAAAUGAUUCUCUCCCAGGUAAGUAUUUGCAACUUUUUUUUAUUUUAAUGAAGGGAAAUGGCAGCUGUUUUUUCAUGAAACUGCACACAAGUUUCACCUCAAGAUACUCGGGUGAGGAUUACAUGGGGUUUAGAGGAAGUGUGAUAUGCAUACACAGGGAGAUGCUUGGAGUGAUGUCUAGCCUGAACUUAAUGUUAAGGUGCAUGUGGGGAGUCCAGCCUUAAAUGUACAUGGAAUUCAUUCUUGUUAGCAUGGUGGUGGUGGGCAACUCCAGUUCAUUUGAUGGUACAUAUCUCUACUUUUUCAGCAGCACGGAGACUACUCAAGCUCUGCACACUCCUGUGAAAGCUCAGAUUACUGCUGCCAUCUUCAUGAUUAUGGCCACCCAAGCUGAGCAUGUCACAAUUGUCCAACAAUCUGAAGGUAAUGCGGCCCCAACGAUUGGCAUUGUUUUCAAGUACCAUCCUCCUUCACGGUAAUACCGUUCAGCUGCUCAAUGGCAUGAGUUCCUUGCAAAUAGCACUUUAGUCAAGAAAAUUCUCUUCAAUACUUUAAUGAACUUAUUGUUGAUUCAUAUACUUAUAAGUGGACUUAUCUUCACUGCAUCUGCACUAUCCAUCCUUUCACUGUCAUUUAUCAAAUCAGUGCUCAUCUUUUCUACGACAAAAAAGCCUUAACCUAUUCAAUACUUCAUGGAAAGUACAAUCUCUCAGUUCUGACAUUAUCCUUGAAUGUUGUUUUUGCUUCUUCUCCUCACUAACAGUGCCUCAACAUUAGCCUUAUAAUAGAGAACAAAAUCGUGUACAGUAUUCCUGAAAUAGCUAAACUUGCU